rnacentral:rRNA from 1 species
CCUACGGGGUGCAGCAGUGGGGAAUAUUGCACAAUGGGGGAAACCCUGAUGCAGCGACGCCGCGUGAGUGAGGAAGUAUUUCGGUAUGUAAAGCUCUAUCAGCAGGGAAGAAGAAAGACGGUACCUGACUAAGAAGCCCCGGCUAACUACGUGCCAGCAGCCGCGGUAAUACGUAGGGGGCAAGCGUUAUCCGGAUUUACUGGGUGGAAAGGGAGCGUAGACGGCUGUGCAAGUCUGAAGGGAAAGCCCAGGGAUCAACCCUGGGACUGCUUUGGAAACUGUGGAGCUAGAGUGCUGGAGAGGUAAGUGGAAUUCCUAGUGUAGCGGUGAAAUGCGUAGAUAUUAGGAGGAACACCAGUGGCGAAGGCGGCUUACUGGACAGUAACUGACGUUGAGGCUCGAAAGCGUGGGGAGCAAACAGGAUUAGAUACCCGAGUAGUC